GUCCUUUCCUAUUUUUUUUUUAAGUCGGCUGCCAGAAUCCACCCAUUCUUUAAAAUGUAUUUAUCUGAAGUAUGAACUUUGCAUAUACGGGAAGGAGGCAGGGUUCUCAAAAUGUCCUGUCUACUUUUUUAGUCUAAUAUGCUGAACUACAAAUUUAAUCCACUGAAGUGGUUUCAUGCAAACACUUCUCUCAAUCUCCUUUUGUACAAAAUCUUGAUGCAUAAUGUAUAGAGUCUGAAAAUGGAUUAAGCUACAUUUGGAAAUGGUUUGAGUUUUUUUUUUUUUUUAAGCAAGCAAAAACCAGCAGGUUUUUUGUUGUUGCCUUUUUUAACCCUUCUUGCUCAAAGCAGUCACAUGGAUUGUGUCUUCUCAAAGCUGCCUUCUACACAAUGUUUCUUAUCUGUUUUUUUUUCUGUCAAAAAGCUUGAAAUGUAAAACAUUUUAAUUAGAAACGUAAAGAGUGAAUUGGAUUCAUUUCCCUCAGAUUUCCCAACUAAAACAAGCAAAUAGAAUGGUAAAACCUUCUGAUUUACUCCUGGAAGAUAAUUCAGCAGCUGAAUAAGCAAGUGAGUGAAAUCUUACUGAAUAAAGUGUUCCCUGGUACUCCAGGAUCGUCAUUAUCCAGAGGACCGUGGCCACAGAUAGAAUGCCAGUCUCUGUGUUAUGUAGUAAAUGCUCAGACACACAUUUCCUCCAGUGUCAAUCAAAGCCUAAAAGAUGAAAAAGGAGAUGGCCAAGGGACUGCCAAGGUCUCCAAAGGAAUCACAGAGACUUGGCUACAAUCCCAGGUUUCAGUGGAUCAGUACGUUUAUAAUGCCGUAUUUCAUGAUUGCUAAUUUUUACAUAACAUUUGAAUACUAUGUAAAUUGUACUGGAAAGAGAAUUGCGGCUAAAAUCAGAAGAUCUGGACUUAAGCCUUAGGUCUGACCCUACACGGUCAUGUGACUUUUUAAAAAUUUAUUUAUUUUUGGCUGCACCAAAUCUUUGUUGCUGCAUGUGGGUUUUCUCCAGUUGCAGCACACGGGCUUCUCAUUGCAGCGGCUUCCCUCAUUAAGAAGCAUGAGCGUGCAGGUCAGUAGCUGCAACAUACAGGCUUAGUUGCCUCACGGCAUGUGGAAUCUUCCAGACCAGGUAUCGAACCCGGCAGGUCCAGAUUCACUGGACCACCAGGGAACUCCCACUGUCCCCAUGUGACUUCAAACUCGCUUGUUCCCGCUGGUUUCAGGUUCAUCAUCUGCCAAGUAAGGACAGCCAUCCUCCCUGCAGCUACUCAUGCAUAUCCAGGGCCUCCGGAAGAACAGGGCUGUCACUUUAGGAAGUCUCGCUCAGCCUUCGUUAUGAAACUCCUGAAUUACAGCCACCUCCUGGAGCCAGAGGGAAAGGCUUCGGAUCAUCAGAAAAGGACCCGUCCUCGAGAGCUCUUUGUGAAAUCAGAAGCCUCAUCCCAGGAAGGAGAAAACCUGCAUCAUAAGGGGAUGAACAAGGGUGCUAAUGCUCUCAGAGAGGAGACAAACAAGCAGAUAAAGAAGGCAUUUGGCAGGAGAGAUGAUUGAUGAUGUCUGUCUGCACAACCACAGACGUUCUUGGAUGAGCUACUCCACUGAGGCUCCACCUCAACACUUGUGGAGAGACAUGAGUGAAUAGACGGGUUCCCUGGUGGCUCAGAUGGUGAAGAAUCUGCCUGCGAUGCAGGAGACCCAUGUUUGAUCCCCAAAUAAGGAAGAUCCCCUGGAGAAGGGAAUGGCAACCCACUCUAGCAUUCUUGCCUGGGAAAUCAUAUGGACAGAGGAGCCUGGUGGGUUACAGUCCAUGGGGUCACAAAGAGUUGGACACGACUAAGUGGCUAACACUUUCACAGGUGAAUAAAUUAGGUUCCCUAAUCCCUUAUAGAGGGAGCCAGAGAUGACACCAGUAUUCACAAUGUUCUCCAUUACAAUUGAGGUAACUGUUAUAAAGGAAAACCAUAGCACACUGUCUGAUGGGAGUAUGGGUGGCAUUUCUUGGGCUGCAAGUUCAUGAAACACUUCCCAAAAGAAAAGCCAUUCCUGCUGAAUCCUAGAGGCUGAGCACAAGUUAGCUUGAAGGAACAGCAUGAGCAAAGGCCCUGAGGUAGGACGGAGCUUAAGCCUCUGGGAUAUUAUUAUCCCCACUUUACACAUGAAGCAAUAGAGACUUAGGGAGAUUAGACAGCUUCCCAAAGUUUUGCAGAACGGAGGGCAGUGUGAGCCCAAAGAUAACUUCCUGCCAUGUAAUCCAAUAUAAUCCAGCCUCUCUGGAAGACAGAGACAAAGAUACUCACAGGCUUUGAAAAUAAUUGUCAAAAGACCCUCUCAUGUCCUUUAAGACUACCCCCACCCCCUCCUGCAGGAGCUGAGGACAGAUUUUCAUUUUGUCACUCUACUGGGCUCAAGACUAAAUUAAAUGACAAACCUGCUAUUUCAGACGCAAAAGUCCUGGAUGCUUUGGGGGUAAUGAAACCAUCUUCCCUCCUCCCCAGGGCCUCUAGUACCAUUAUGGUGCAGUCCCAAGCUAUCAAUGAUAGUGAAAAAAUGGGGCUUUGCAGUAGAGGAAAGAGGCUAUUCAAACCGCUCCUGAUUUCUAUAAAAGAGAGAUCUUUUGAUCUUUGAAACAGCCAAAAGGGCAGUUUGAUCUUCGUUAAGCUCAUUUAUUUUAGAUUCUUGCAAAUUUCUUUUCUGUAGGUUUACUUCCUUAGAAAACUCAAUAUUCAAUUGAACAGUGACUUUUAUAUAUUGAAAUGCAAUAUUGAAUAGCUGAAGCCUAAUAAAUGCCAUCCUGGCUGUAUAGGAUAUUUUAAAAAUCUUAAAAGGGCCGAUUGAGCCCGAUCCAGGCAAAGAUGACAAAGCGAAUUCAAUGCUUCUUUUGAAAAUGAGUCAUGGUCAGAAAUACUCACUUUGACCAAAAGCAUUUCUUUGAAUGCCAGAGGUAAAUUUGCUCACUUUCAUUUUCUGCCUGGGUUUCAAGUCAGCACUGCAGAACUGAACAAAAUCGACUCCAAGAGGCCCUGGCAGCUGUUCCAGAUGUAAAUGUGAGCAGGAUAGUAGGGCUGGGCCUGUUCCCUUCAGUGUGUUAUUUUCAAAUUAUGCAGAUGAUAUUCAGAUAGGGAUUGAUCAGACUUUGUCUGUUUUUUCAGGGAGAAGUCAAUCAUUGCUAUUCUCCACUGCCUUCACAUUCCGCAGGACCACCCUUUCCGUUACUUAGAAAAAGGAUGUUUUAUUAUCACAAGCCUCCAAAUUGCUGGCAAAAGGGAGACUCUGACAUAUGUUGCCAGUCGUGGGGGGCUCAGGGGAGGACAGGCACAGCAGACUCAAUCGAUUAGCCAAAAGGAACAGGCUUUGAUGUCAGGGAACCUUUCCAAACUUCAUUUAAGACUCAAACAAUCUGUGGGAAAUCAAAGUUCUCAACCAGGACCUCUGCCCUACUCCUGCAGCCGAGGCUGGAGGAACUUAUGUUUUAACUAUUUGUAGAUGAUUACUCAGUUUGGGAAUGUGUUCCUCUUGUGGCUCUUUCUACAUGAGGCUCUUUAAGAAGUUGAAUCGUUUUGUUCUCUACUUCCUGUCACAUGUACCUUAGCCCUCUUGCAUAUAUGUCUUAAGAAAAUGCAGAUUAGCACUGCCUAAGAGUUGUUGUUUUUUUGUCUCAGCCCUCUCCUCCAUGUGACCUCUGAAGAAGAUCUGAUUGUGUAAACUAGUACAGGAAUGCCGUCUGUUUUGCACACUCUCAGUAUCAGCUGAAAAGUAGGUUGCACUUGGGAAAGGAACUAGGGCCAAGAGAUCUAGGGCCAAGGAACUAGGGCCCAUGGAGGAGAAAUGGUACCCAUUUGUAAGAAGAUGGUGGAGAAAAGGAAGUCAGAAAGACAUGGAAGAAUUUGGGUCCUACUCUCAGCGAAGUCAAGAGGAGGAACCAAAGGUAGUGUCAGUUUAGAAAUCACAGUUUGGAUUUUGAAUAAAUUUGAAUUUACAUGGUUCUCUGUAUAUCCCAGCAGAAAUGUCAAAUCUUAGGUACUGCCUAUGAGCCUGGAUUACUUUGGUAUUUAGAGGCAGAUGUUUCUUCUCUGAACAAGAACAUGAAAAGCUUCCAGAAAGGGAUUCCUUAGCCCCAGCCCGGUCUGCACUGGUUAGACCACACCGAGGAUACCAUAGCCCUGUCAGUGUGGAUAUGCAAUUCUAUCACUUGAGCACCCUGAGUUCUUCACAUUGGUUUCUAAUAUAGACUGACUAAUUGGAGUUUCUACAGACAAGAGUGGUCAAGAGUGGUCCACGCCUGGGCGGCAGUUAAUGCCCUAGAUGUUUAGCCCCCAAAAGAGUGACUUAAAGAAGAUGUGAUAGCACUGAAGAUCUGUCGCGUGAAUAGAGACUUGAUGAGUCCCUUUUGCUCUAGAAGAGAGGUUCCAUGGGGGUUCCAGGGAGUGGGGAGAUAAUCACAAUUACAGAAAUGCCGAAGAAUGCUUUACUCAAGGAGUGAGUUCCUUGUCGUGGAAGACACUCAGCCAAAAGCUGGGAGGGAGGUUGCGUCAGUAGAAAAAGGAACUGCCACAUUCUUGGAUAAUAUCAGAACUGGAAGUGACCCUCAGUGACACACAGUUCAAGAGUCUUUAAGGUGUAAGGAAACCUUGACAAUCUCCCUUAAGGCUUGUUUCCCUACCAGCAAGUACAGUCUUUCCUUGUGGGGUUAGGAUUUCAAGAACAUUCUCUGGGAACAGACUUAGGGAUACAGUGGGGGAAGGAGAGAGUGGGAUGAAUUGAGACAGUAGCCUUGAAAUAUAUACAUUCCCAUAUGUAAAAUAGCUAGCUAGUGGGAAGUUGGCAUAUAGUGCCACCGGGA